rnacentral:rRNA from 1 species
AUGGAACCCACGAGGCAGGUCGUUCGCCACACGACGGCCAUUGGUGCCUCGGGAUCACCUGCGGUGCUAGCUGAGAUGAUGACCUAUCUGGGUUAUCGCUGGCACCCUGAGUACACCGUCUACGAGGAGUACCAGGACUUUAACCAGGAGCAGUACCUUGCCAUCGUCCACCUCUACUCGCGGGAGUAUGACUCCACUACUGUGCUGCACACCGCACAUGGUGUUGGUGUGACCAUCGAUAUGGCUGUCCACGAUGCUGCCUAUGCUGCUCUGACACGUCUUCAUGGAGAGUAUCAGGAGUUGGACACCUCCCCUUUCAGGCAUAUUGCUAUCGCAUCUGAUCUGAUGUUGGUGCGGAGGGAUACUAUACUGCUGCCUACUCCACUGUCACCCGAGAGCCCUUCUACCAUCAGAACCUGGUUCUGCAUGCUGAUGGGCUGGAUCGAGCUAACCGAGCUCUUCGCCACGAGAUGUACACCACCCGUCAGCACCUUUACCGUGCUCUGA